rnacentral:rRNA from 1 species
AACGAACGCUGGCGGCAUGCCUAACACAUGCGAGUCGAACGAGACCUUCGGGUCUAGUGGCGCACGGGUGCGUAACGCGUGGGAACCUGCCCUUAGGUUCGGAAUAACUCCCCGAAAGGGGUGCUAAUACCGGAUAAUGUCUCCGGACCAAAGAUUUAUCGCCUUUGGAUGGGCCCGCGUUGGAUUAGCUAGUUGGUAGGGUAAAAGCCUACCAAGGCGACGAUCCAUAGCUGGUCUGAGAGGAUGAUCAGCCACACUGGGACUGAGACACGGCCCAGACUCCUACGGGAGGCAGCAGUGGGGAAUAUUGGACAAUGGGCGAAAGCCUGAUCCAGCAAUGCCGCGUGAGUGAUGAAGGCCUUAGGGUUGUAAAGCUCUUUUACCCGGGAUGAUAAUGACAGUACCGGGAGAAUAAGCUCCGGCUAACUCCGUG